rnacentral:rRNA from 1 species
UACGGAGGGCGCGAGCGUUAAUCGGAAUUACUGGGCGUAAAGCGUGCGUAGGUGGUUGAUUAAGUUAUCUGUGAAAUUCCUGGGCUUAACCUGGGCAGGUCAGAUGAUACUGAUUGACUCGAGUAUGGGAGAGGGUAGUGGAAUUUCCGGUGUAGCGGUGAAAUGCGUAGAGAUCGGAAGGAACACCAGUGGCGAAGGCGGCUACCUGGCCUAAUACUGACACUGAGGCACGAAAGCGUGGGGAGCAAACAGG